ACCGAAAUAUCUGGGUUAAUUAAAGAAUUCGGGCGGAAAAGUGCACGAAAGUGAAGUUCUAGUGCUCCGGAAUGAGUGAGAAUACAAGGAAUAGUGGAGCUCGCUGGUAUAAAAGCGAGAGAAACGAUAGAAAGUGCUGUGUGUGAAAAGUGAGGUUAGGGACAGAGCGGAGGCCAUCUUGAGUCGCGCGACCGAAGCGCCACCGUGCGGGCUACCUGGGUAACCAAGGAGUGGUGGAGAGCGCCUCCGUGGAGGGCCAGUUAAAACUCCCCGCGUCGAACAGUGAUAGUGACAUUGCGAUUUUAGAAAUAUCCGGACAUCAGUCAUACGAUUGGCGAUUUUACGACGACAUCGGCAAGUUUAUUAGGAUACGAAUCGCAUACACUCGGAAGGAUACAGUGUGAUUAUACGACGACCGGCUACGUCGAAGGACAUCCAUUUCGUACAUACAUAUAAAUAUA
rnacentral:misc_RNA from 1 species